rnacentral:sRNA from 13 species
CAGGCAGCCAUUUUGGCAAAUUCGUGUUACACUGGCAAGUAUCUCAGCAAGCUGGUUGAAACAACAAAAUCGUUGGGAUAUACUUUUGGUCGAGCGUCGUUAAAGGAAACCAAAUUAAUUAUUGUCCCCUUAAAAGUGUCCACUGAGGAAUUUUCUGGUGAUGUGGCAGGACGCUGCAAUACCGCCCUCUGACAGGAAAUGAAGAUCUUCUUAGGGAUGCCUAGGGUUUUAAAUGUGUCCUCGAGAUGCCUAAUAAAAAGUUAAUGUAUUAAGAAAUGAAGGAUCUACUAGCCAUGAAUUGUAUUGAGAUGUUAGAAGCUUGCUCUAGGGGCGAUAUACUAAAGAUCCCUAAAAACUGUUCCUGGGCAAUUUAUGUUGGUCAAGGUAUGAUGGUUCAUUUGGUACCAGAUGGAACCAAAAUGAAAGCAACGGUUGAGCUUGAUCACCUGUGUGACAUUCUAGACAAAAAUCAGGAAAUUGACAAGAUUGUCCAUUUACACUACAGACUAAGAUUUUUUUUUGCAACGUGAAAUCCCGGAAGUAGUUAUAAAAAAAGCAUUGUCAAAAGUAGGGAAAAGUACCUCAGCGAAUAGCGAAAAAUUUGUCUAUGAUUGUUGUUAUGGAUGGACCCUGAAUGUACCUUCAAAGGUUGCAAUCAUAAUGCUGAUAUGUGGGUGGCUCGUGGCCGAUUCAUUCCUUUCACAUGAAAGUACAAUGGCUGAAUUAAACAUUUAUUAUAUACUUAUAUUCAUCUUUAAUGUAGUGGUAUUGGUAAUCUCUAUAGUCCUCUACUGUAUUUAUAAACAAUCUAAAGAUAAAGACCGAAUUAUACGAUUUCAAAUAAAUAGUUCCUAUAUAAAGAGCAAUUCAUUGCAAUGGGAAGAAAUGUCUGACAUGAACAAAGAAAACGACGUAUGUACUCCGGUUGAUGGAAAUGAAAUACACAUCUCAACCAAAGGAAUAGAAGAGGACAAGG